rnacentral:rRNA from 1 species
UACGUAGGGUGCGAGCGUUAAUCGGAAUUACUGGGCGUAAAGCGUGCGCAGGCGGUUUUGUAAGACAGAGGUGAAAUCCCCGGGCUUAACCUGGGAACUGCCUUUGUGACUGCAAGGCUUGAGUGCGGCAGAGGGGGAUGGAAUUCCGCGUGUAGCAGUGAAAUGCGUAGAUAUGCGGAGGAACACCGAUGGCGAAGGCAAUCCCCUGGGCCUGCACUGACGCUCAUGCGCGAAAGCGUGGGGAGCGAACAGG